CCCGGGCCUUGUACACACCGCCCGUCACACCACGAAAGCUGGUUGCACCAGAAGCCGGUAACCCAACCGCAAGGAGGGAGCCGUCCAAGGUUCGACUGGUGAUUGGGGUG
rnacentral:rRNA from 1 species